GUGUCUAUAGCUCAGUUGGUAGAGCCCCGGAUUGUGAUUCCGGUUGUCGUGGGUUCGAGCCCCAUCAGUCACCCCA
rnacentral:tRNA from 1 species